rnacentral:lncRNA from 1 species
GCGGUGCAGCGACGACGGAGGAGAGAUUGUGGUGAGGUGGAGGUGGAGUAGUCUUAUGUGCUGGUGGAGUGGAGGAGAAAUGAAAAGAAAAGAGUUACUUAGGUGGUGAAAUGGAAUGGAAAAAAAAAAGGGGGAGGAGCAAGGUGGUGGACGACAAAGAGAUGGGAGGAGAGAAAAAUGAAAAAAAGAAGUGAAAUGGAUAUGUCUAGGUGCAUGACCGGCCAAGGUAAGGUAAGUGAGGAAAGUUGGUAUGUCUGGGGCAUAAAGGCAUGGAAAAGGGAUUAUGGAGUGAAAAGGGGAGAAAAAAGGGAAUGUUGACCUUGUAAUCAAGG